GUCAAUGACAUUUUCUUUUGUAAUGAGAUUAUUGGACACCUGGGUCUUUUGGAACUUCCUCUGAAAGGAAGAUGUUUUACUUGGUCCAACAUGCAGGAAAAUCCACUGUUGGAACAGUUAGAUUGGUUCUACACAACAUCUGACUAGAUUUCUUACUAUCCGAAUACAUUGGUUCUUCCUCUUGCCAAAACUUCCUCUGAUCAUGUCCCAUAUGUUGUUUCCAUUGACACAACCAUCCUGCAGCCCGAGUCUUUCAUUUUAAGAAUUUUUGGGCUGAUAUGCCUGGCUUUUUUGAGUGUGUCAGGUAGUCCUAGGAGGCAUCUAUUCAUGCAGACUUGA
rnacentral:rRNA from 1 species